rnacentral:tRNA from 2 species
GCCCGCUUGGCCAAGUGGUAAGGCGCCUCACUCGUAAUGAGGCGAUCGUCGGUUCGAAUCCGACAGUGGGCAC